GAGACAGCAGUCGCCACGGUAAUACAGAGGGUGCGAGCGUUAAUCGGAUUUACUGGGCGUAAAGCGUGCGUAGGCGGCUUUUUAAGUCGGAUGUGAAAUCCCUGAGCUUAACUUAGGAAUUGCAUUCGAUACUGGGAAGCUAGAGUAUGGGAGAGGAUGGUAGAAUUCCAGGUGUAGCGGUGAAAUGCGUAGAGAUCUGGAGGAAUACCGAUGGCGAAGGCAGCCAUCUGGCCUAAUACUGACGCUGAGGUACGAAAGCAUGGGGAGCAAACAGGAUUAGAUACCCCCGUAGUCCCUGUCUCUUAUCC
rnacentral:rRNA from 1 species